UUGGUGACUAAAUUUGGUUAAGGAAGAAGGGUUAGUUAUUGUAUGAAAUUGUGAGAUUAAGGGCACUGAACAUGAAGAAGUGAAGUGGAGCAGUGGCAGUCCAAUAUGGAUCAAAAAUAUCUGCAGUAAAGAUCUUCACCCACUACGGACUCCAUGGGUUUCCAGGGAAUGUUUGGAUAAGUGAAGGCUGGUAUGAGGUAGGGUCGUGAGACUUGGUUUACUAGCUAAGGACUGUAUUGAACUUGUACUAGAUUGAUCACAACAGACACAUCCUCCUGUCUGCUUGUUGUCUUGUGCCCAGCCGUGGAUGAGGUUCAUCACCCCUGCGUUUACCUCCUAUGUGUUGUCCAUGCACUCCUGCUACGUGUCCAUAAUCGUGGGGCUGCUGGCGUCCCCGGCGUCCUCCUCCAUCAUGUCCUGGCCGAGCUCUGGAACAUCUGUCUCCCCAUCCCUUUGCUUAAAUACUGCUGCUGUAAUCCCUGCUGUUCUCAAGUUUUAGUUGCUUCACUUGGUGUCUUAGCGGUUCGUGUUUGUAAGUCUAAGCUCCUCUUCCCAGCCACCAACUCGAUCUGCCCUAGUCUUCCCAUCUCCUACUUAAGUCAUGGUCCAGUAGGCCGUGCAGUCCUAGAGCUCGAGUGAUCUCCUUGGCUGUUGUAGCCUAUGUUUCCCCGGAGUUAAUCCCCUCCCAAUAUCUUGGUCCAUCUGCCCAGAGCUUGGUGUACCAGUCCCUAGGUGGUGACCAUCGUCGGCAGUUAGUCCACCUCGUCGUGACCAGAAUUCCCAGAAGAAGAAGAUGAAAUUCAAGAAGUGGUUUCUGAAGAGGAGUCUGCUUUAGUGCCUGCUCAUCAAGUGAUGGGAGCCAUCUAACUGGGGUUUAAUAGAGGGAUUUAGACCUCCGUCUCUGCAACAAAGGCAAGCCCCGGUGCAUUUGCCACCUUCCUUGUAUUACAAAAUUUUAUCACUUAUAUGCUGCAUUAGGUAAUAGGAGUUGAAUGAUUAAACACUUGAUGUAUAACCAUCCUUGAAAGAUUGAUUAUCAUACCUUGUUACCUGUUUUAUAAAAACUAGUAAUGCUUAGUUAUGCUUAUAGAUUAAGAAAAAUGUUUUUGAUC